rnacentral:rRNA from 1 species
GACGAACGCUGGCGGCGUGCCUAAUACAUGCAAGUAGAACGCACAGUUUAUACCGUAGCUUGCUACACCAUAGACUGUGAGUUGCGAGCGGGUGAGUAACGCGUAGGUAACCUGCCUGGUAGCGGGGGAUAACUAUUGGAAACGAUAGCUAAUACCGCAUAAUAUUAAUUAUUGCAUGAUAAUUAAUUGAAAGGUGCAAUUGCACCACUACCAGAUGGACCUGCGUUGUAUUAGCUAGUAGGUGAGGUAACGGCUCACCUAGGCGACGAUACAUAGCCGACCUGGGAGGGUGAUCGGCCACCCUGGGACUGAGACACGGCCCAGACUCCUACGGGAGGCAGCAGUAGGGAAUCUUCGGCAAUGGACGAAAGUCUGACCGAGCAACGCCGCGUGAGUGAAGAAGGGUUUCGGAUCGUAAAGCUCUGUUGUAAGAGAAGAACGGGUGUGAGAGUGGAAAGUUCACACUGUGACGGUAUCUUACCAGAAAGGGACGGCUAACUACGUG